rnacentral:rRNA from 1 species
GACGAGGGGUGCAAACGUUAUUCGGAAUGAUUGGGCGUAAAGGGUGCGCAGGCGGCGUGCUAAGUCAACUGUUAAAUUCCCCGGCUUAACCGGGGGCAAGCGGUAGAAACUGGCGCGCUUGAGGAUGGAAGAGAGAAGUGGAAUUCUCGGAGUAGCGGUAAAAUGCGUAGAUCUCGAGAGGAACACCGAUGGCGAAGGCAGCUUCUUGGUCCAUUUCUGACGCUCAUGCACGAAAGCGUGGGGAGCAAAC